rnacentral:hammerhead_ribozyme from 1 species
AUCUAGCUGACGAGUUGGAAAUAGGAUGAAACGCGCGUCAAACUGGAU